rnacentral:rRNA from 1 species
GACGAACCACACGAACGUUAUUCGGAAUCACUGGGCGUAAAGGGUGCGUAGGCGGGUCUUUAAGUCGGGGGUGAAAUCCUGGAGCUCAACUCCAGAACUGCCUUUGAUACUGAGGAUCUUGAGUUCGGGAGAGGUGAGUGGAACUGCGAGUGUAGAGGUGAAAUUCGUAGAUAUUCGCAAGAACACCAGUGGCGAAGGCGGCUCACUGGCCCGGUACUGACGCUGAGGCACGAAAGCGUGGGGAGCAAACAGG